CUCCCAUCACUUUUCUUUGUACUAAAAAGAUCCUUGAGAAAUGGCUUUUUUUCUUUUAUACACAUCAUCUUCCUAGAAUCCGAAGGCUGCUACAGAAGGGAUGGAAACAUGCAAGUACAUCCCAUGCUGAUUGUUGCUGAAAUACCUGGAAGGAAGCUGGCUAAGACUAUCCAAGGGAUGCUGAGACAUCUCCGAACUUACAAAAUGGUGGAAUGUGAACAGGAAUGUGGAGUUGUCUACUCUCCUCAGCUCUACCCUGUCAUUUUAAGGUGUAAAAAAGCCAAGGAGCAUCAACAUUUGGCUUCAGAAAUGUUGCUAAAUCCUGAAUAAACAAGAAUGAACAAGCAAGAUUUUCUUCUCUGGGGAAGUUAGCUGUCAUGUUGUGAGGAUACUCAAGCAGUUUAUAAAGAGGUUUGUGUGGCAAGGAAUGGAAGCCUCCUGCCCACAGCCAUGUAAAGGAGCCAGCUAGAAAACAGAUUCUCCAACCCCAGUCAGACUUUCAGAUGACUGCAGCCCCUACCAACAUUCUGACUGCAGUGGAAGGAAAGACCCUGAACCAGAGAACCACCCAGGUAAGAUAAUCCUGGAUUCCUGACCUAGAGAAGCUCUGAGUUAAUAUUUGUUGUUUAAAGCCACAGCUUUGUGGGACAAUGUGUUAAACAUAACUAACACAUGUGAUUAGGAAAGCUCUUAGUAAGAGCAGAGACCAGAAUGAAAAAGGGGAAUGAGCCAGGUAAAUAUAUGUAUAAUGCUUGAAGUAAGG
rnacentral:lncRNA from 13 species